GAUGAACGCUGGCGGCGUGCUUAACACAUGCAAGUCGAGCGGGCAAUUUAUCUAGCACUGAUUACUUCAAAUGGCUAUCGCCAGUGCGAUCAUGAAUUUCUACCUUAUAAUAAAGAAAAAAGAAAUUCAUGUACGCAAAUAGUGAUAACACAUUUUAGUGGAGUGAUGAGUGCUGGAUAAAUUGCUAGCGGCGGACGGGUGCGUAACACGUGGGUAACCUGCCCCUAUCACUGGGAUAACACACUGAAAAGUGUGCUAAUACCAGAUAACAUAAGCUUUUGGCAUCAUUAGCUUAUCAAAGAAUUUCGGAUAGGGAUGGGCCCGCGUCUGAUUAGCUAGUUGGUGAGGUAACGGCUCACCAAGGCAACGAUCAGUAGCCGACCUGAGAGGGUGAUCGGCCACACUGGAACUGAGACACGGACCAGACUCCUACGGGAGGCAGCAGUGAGGAAU
rnacentral:rRNA from 1 species